GNUCAUGGCUCAGGGUGAACGCUGGCGGCGUGCUUAACACAUUCAAGUCGAACGGAGAACGGGGAGCUUGCUCCCCGGGAUCAGUGGCGGACGGGUGAGUAACGCGUGAGCAACCUGCCUGUGUGUGGGGGAUAACACCCGGAAACGGGUGCUAAUACCGCAUAACGCAACGGAGCCGCAUGACUUUGUUGCCAAAGAUAUAUUGCGCACAGAUGGGCUCGCGUCUGAUUAGAUAGUUGG
rnacentral:rRNA from 1 species